GACGAACGCUGGCGGCGUGCUUAACACAUGCAAGUCGAACGGAAAGGCCCUGCCUUUGUGUGGUGCUCGAGUGGCGAACGGGUGAGUAACACGUGAGUAACCUGCCCUUGACUUUGGUAUAACUUCAGGAAACUGGGGCUAAUACCGGAUAUGAGAUCCUGCUUCAUGGUGGGGGGUGGAAAGUUUCGGCGUGUGGGGAUGGUCUCGCGGCUUAUCAGCAUGUUGGUGGGGUCGUGGCUUACCAAGGCUUUGACGGGUAGCCGGCCUGAGAGGGUGACCGGCCACAUUGGGACUGAGAUACGGCCCAGACUGCUACGGGAGGCAGCAGUGGGGAAUAUUGCACAAUGGGCGGAAGACUGAUGCAGCAACGCCGCGUGCGGGAUGACGGCCUUCGGGUUGUAAACCGCUUUCGCCUGCGACGAAGCGUGAGUGACGGUAAUGGGUAAAGAAGCACCGGCUAACUACGUG
rnacentral:rRNA from 1 species